rnacentral:rRNA from 1 species
UACGCAGGCAGCGAGCGUUGUUCGGAGUUACUGGGCGUAAAGAGUGCGUAGGCGGUGCUCUAAGUUUGGUGUGAAAUCUCCCGGCUCAACUGGGAGGGUGCGCCGAAAACUGGAGUGCUCGAGUAUGGGAGAGGUAAGCGGAAUUCCUGGUGUAGCGGUGAAAUGCGUAGAUAUCAGGAGGAACACCUGCGGUGUAGACGGCUUACUGGACCAUGACUGACGCUGAGGCACGAAAGCGUGGGGAGCAAACAGG